rnacentral:rRNA from 1 species
GACGAACGCUGGCGGCGCGCCUAACACAUGCAAGUCGAACGGGGUUGUUACUCACACCGAGAUCACAGGGAUGUGAUUUGGGUGUGGGUAACAACCUAGUGGCGGACGGGUGAGUAACACGUGAGCAACCUGCCUUUCAGAGGGGGAUAACGUUGGGAAACUAACGCUAAUACCGCAUAAGCAUACAGCAUCGCAUGGUGCAGUGUGAAAAACUAUGGUGGUACAAGAUGGACCCGCGUCUGAUUAGCUAGUUGGUAAGGUAACGGCUUACCAAGGCGACGAUCAGUAGCCGGCCUGAGAGGGUGAACGGCCACAUUGGGACUGAGACACGGCCCAGACUCCUACGGGAGGCAGCAGUGGGGAAUAUUGCACAAUGGGGGAAACCCUGAUGCAGCGACGCCGCGUGAAGGAAGAAGUAUUUCGGUAUGUAAACUUCUAUCAGCAGGGAAGAAAAUGACGGUACCUGACUAAGAAGCCCCGGCUAAUUACGUGCCAGCCGCCGCCGUAAGAC